AACCUGGUUGAUCUUGCCAGUAGUCAUAUGCUUGUCUUAAAGAUUAAGCCAUGCAAGUGAAAGUACACAUGUAUAAUAAUAUAUCGAAACUGCGAACGGCUCAUUAAAACAGUUAUAAUCUACUUGACAUUUAUAUUAUAAGGAUAACUACGGAAAAGCUGUAGCUAAUACUUGUAAAAAUAUCUUAUGAUAUGUAUAUAUAUAUGUAUGUAUCAUUAAGAUAUGUAUUUGUUAGAUGUAAGAAGUAAAUAAAAUAAAUAUAAAUUGAAUUAUAACAAAGAAAGAACACGUAUACGUACGUGAUUAUCAAUCGAGUAUCUGACCUAUCAGCUUUUGAUGUUAGGGUAUUGACCUAACAUGGCUAUGACGGGUAACGGGGAAUUAGAGUUCGAUUCCGGAGAGGGAGCCUGAGAAAUAGCUACCACAUCUAAGGAAGGCAGCAGGCGCGUAAAUUACCCAAUUCUGAAGAAGAGAGGUAGUGACAAGAAAUAACAAUACAUUAUCGAAGAAUGAUUUUGUAAUUGGAAUGAUAGGGAAUUAUAACAUUUCUAGAGAAGCAAUUGGAGGGCAAGUCUGGUGCCAGCAGCCGCGGUAAUUCCAGCUCCAAUAGCAUAUAUUAAAAUUGUUGCAGUUAAAACGUUCGUAGUUGAAUAUUAAAGAAUCCGAUGUUUCAUUUAAACUGGUUUUGGGAAACUACAUAUAUAUAUUUAUAUAUAUAUUGUUUAAUAAGUUUCCCGUAUAAAAUUAUGUUUUUAUCAGAUAUGACAGAGUCUUUUUUAAAAUUUCUUCAUUUUGCUUUUAUUGCUUUUUGAGAGAUUUUGUUACUUUGAGUAAAAUUAAGUGUUCAUAACAGACGGCUAUACUUUGAUUGAGGUGUUCAGGGUGUUUGAAUACUACAGCAUGGAAUAACAAAUAUGAAUAAGCUAAUUUAAUUUUUUAUUAUUUUUUUUGAUAUUCUUAUUAGCUUAGUUACGGUUAAUAGGAGUAGUUUUGGGGGCAUUCGUAUUCAGAUGUCAGAGGUGAAAUUCUAAGAUUUUCUGGAGACGGACUACUGCGAAAGCAUUUGCCUAAUCUAUUUCCAUUAAUCAAGAACGAAAGUUAAGGGAGUGAAGACGAUCAGAUACCGUCGUAAUCUUAACCAUAAACUAUACCGACUAGGUGUUGGAUGAAUAUAAAAAAUAUAUAUAAAAUUUUGAUAUUUCUUAGGGAUUAUUUAUUUUAUAUAUUAGAUUGCUUCCUUCAGUACCUUAUGAGAAAUCAAAGUCUUUGGGUUCUGGGGCGAGUAUUCGCGCAAGCGAGAAAGUUAAAAGAAUUGACGGAAGGGCACCACCAGGCGUGGAGCUUGCGGCUUAAUUUGACUCAACACGGGAAAACUCACUAGUUUAAGACAAGAGUAGGAUUGACAGAUUAAUAGCUCUUUCUUGAUUUCUUGGAUGGUGAUGCAUGGCCGUUUUUAGUUCGUGAAUAUGAUUUGUCUGGUUAAUUCCGAUAACGAACGAGAUCUUAACCUGCUAAUUAGCGGCAAGUACACCAUAUUUUUAUUUGAAAUUGAUUUUAGGUAAAAUUAAUAAUAAUUAUUUUAGGUGUACAAAUUAGGAUAUUUUUAUUAAAAUAUCCUUUUCCCUGUUCAACUAAUAUUUUAUUUUUUUUUACUCUAUUUCUUUGUUCUUUUAAGAAUGUACUUGUUUGAUUGAAAAAGCUUCUUAGAGGAACAUUGUGUAUCUAACACAAGGAAGUUUAAGGCAACAACAGGUCUGUGAUGUCCUUAGAUAAACUAGGCUGCACGCGUGCUACAAUGAUAUAUAUAACAAGUUGUUAAAAAUAUACAUAUAUAUAUUUGUAUCUUGUGAUACUUAGUAAAUAAUUUUGUAUAUUUUUUCCUUUACUGAAAAGUAUAGGUAAUCCAAUCAAUAUAUAUCGUAACUGGGAUAGAUUAUUGCAAUUAUUAAUCUUGAACGAGGAAUGCCUAGUAAGCAUGAUUCAUUAGAUUGUGCUGACUACGUCCCUGCCCUUUGUACACACCGCCCGUCGCUCCUACCGAUUGAAAGAUAUGAUGAAUUGUUUGGAUAUGAAUUAAAAUAAUGGAAUUUUAUAUUUCUGAUUUUUUCUAGAAGAACUGUAAAUCCUGUCUUUUAAAGGAAGGAGAAGU
rnacentral:rRNA from 1 species